AUACACCCACAAUCCUCUCCUCACUCCACCACACAUAGCAGCUGUCACACACAGAGGGUUGGGCUUGUUACGGGGGUGGUGUGUGUGUGUGUGUGUGUCAUGGCAUGUUAAAAUACCCAGGGUUUGACGUCACUAUCUGACAAACAACUCUGCCUCUAAACCAAACUACACACACAGAUCAAUGGUAGAAUUUCACCAGAGAUAAAUACCCUUCAUUCUGGAGAGGAGAAGGUGGGUCACUAGAGAUAAAUACCCUUCAUUCUGGAGAGGAGAAGGUGGGUCACUAGAGAUAAAUACCCUUCAUUCUGGAGAGGAGAAGGUGGGUCACUAGAGAUAAAUACCCUUCAUUCUGGAGAGGAGAAGGUGGGUCACUAGAGAUAAAUACCCUUCAUUCUGGAGAGGAGAAGGUGGGUCACUAGAGAUAAAUACCCUUCAUUCUGGAGAGGAGAAGGUGGGUCACUAGAGAUAAAUACCCUUCAUUCUGGAGAGGAGAAGGUGGGUCACUAGAGAUAAAUACCCUUCAUUCUGGAGAGGAGAAGGUGGGUCACUAGAGAUAAAUACCCUUCAUUCUGGAGAGGAGAAGGUGGGUCACUAGAGAUAAAUACCCUUCAUUCUGGAGAGGAGAAGGUGGGUCACUAGAGAUAAAUACCCUUCAUUCUGGAGAGGAGAAGGUGGGUCACUAGAGAUAAAUACCCUUCAUUCUGGAGAGGAGAAGGUGGGUCACUAGAGAUAAAUACCCUUCAUUCUGGAGAGGAGAAGGUGGGUCACCAGAGAUAAAUACCCUUCAUUCUGGAGAGGAUCCCCACUAGAGAUAAAUACCCUUCAUUCUGGAGAGGAGAAGGUGGGUCACUAGAGAUAAAUACCCUUCAUUCUGGAGAGGAGA